GGUGGUUUAUAGGCUUUUAGCUGUAAGGGAGAUCUUCAUAUCAAAACAGAUGGAUUAAUUACUUACCUCUAAGCUUCAGGUUUUCCUGCUUUGUCAUUUUAAAUUAAAACUAUUCGUCCUUUUUUGGCAUUUUCUUCUUUCUACCAACCUUUGUCCUCUCUUCUCACUUGCUUUUCAUCAUAACUACUUUUAUGGCUAAGAAAGAAUCAAUGACUUUCACCUACUCAGGAAAAUCAAUUAAGAUAUUUGAACUUUACCUUUCCAGCAUGGCUUUGAUCUUAAAAUUACACUGCUUGUGCUGAUUACAAGAAUGCACGUCACAACUUUUUUUUAUCUUUUUUAAAAUUUGCAGUUGUGGAUGAUACUAAAAUGAUUUUUGGAAGAACUGGUUG
rnacentral:lncRNA from 1 species